CAUCCGUCGAGUUAAAUACGAUUCAUAGUUCAACCGAAGCAGCCGCCGACGACUCCGAGAGAGAGAGAGAGUUUCUACGAAUUGGUCUGCUCACCACCUGUCCAUGGUCGUCUCCGAGACCGCAAACGGCGUUGAUCUGGCCGCCUAUUCGGCGUCAGCCACCGGCGAUCUCGACCGCAAGGAAGCGCCCGACUCCAAUAAGUCCGUGGAUCUCGCCUCCAGCGCUACAGUCGUCGCCGUCGGCGAUUCUCUUCCCACCUUCCUCCCUCACCCCAAUCCUAAUGGCUUCCACCUCAAGGAUCAGCAGCUGCACCGCGUCUCCAGUCCGGGGCCGGCCGCAGCGUCGCAGCGACCCCAGGGGUCGGAGCAGGAGAUGAGGGAUCUGGAGGAGCUCCUGUCGAAGCUGAAUCCGAUGGCGGCGGAGUUCGUUCCGCCUUCAAUCGCCGGAGGUGGACUGGCCGCACCCUACGGAGGUCUUGGCGUUGGUUUUGGUGGCGGAUUUUAUGGGGGUGGAUUUGGGGCGACCCUUGCUUUGGGAAAUGGUGGCUUCGAUGGAGGCAGUGGAAGGAGGAACAAAAACGGAUACGGUCAGGGGAAUCGUCGGAUGAAUAGCCGGACGAGUCUGGCACAGAGAGAUGAGGUGAUCAGAAGGACUGUAUACGUUGCAGAUGUAGAUCGUCAGGUUACUGAAGAAGAGCUUGCAAUACUUUUCAACCGCUGUGGGCAUGUUGUUGACUGUCGAAUGUGUGGGGACCCAAAAACUAUUCUUCGGUUUGCUUUCAUAGAAUUUGAGGAUGAUGAGAGUGCAAGAGCUGCUUUAAAUCUGUCAGGAGCCAUGCUUGGGUCUUACCCUCUUAGGGUGCUUCCUUCAAAGACUGCAAUUGCGCCUGUGAACCCUACAUUUUUGCCAAGCUCGGAUGAUGAACGCGAGAUGUGUUCAAGGACUGUAUACUGCACAAAUAUUGACAAGAAGGUUUCUCAAGCAGAAAUUAGACUUUUCUUUGAGUUUUUAUGUGGAGAGGUUUACCGGCUAAGGCUUCUCGGAGACCAAAAUCAUUCUACUCGGAUCGCUUUUGUUGAGUUUGUAAGGGCUGAGUGCGCAACUAAUGCUUUGAGCUGUAGUGGAGUUGUCUUAGGAUCCUUGCCAAUCAGGGUGAGCCCUUCCAAGACUCCUGUGCGCCCUCGUUCUUCUCGCCCGCCCCUGCAUUGAAUCUUUGUGGGUUGAAGAAACAUUCCAUAGCAAUACUACAAUAGAUGCGCACACAUGAAAUUUAUGAUACAUUCUGGCUCUAAAGUUUAUUUCUUUCUUACGAAGAAGAGACACUUAUUGCACAUGGGGCUUUGGAAUUUUUAUAUGAUGCAACCUUGUCGAAAUUUCUCACGUGCAAUUCUUGAUUCUGAGUACUGAUCUGUCGAAAGAAGUUCAAGUCGACUGCAGCAGAAGAAGUCAUUGUGGAUGUCAAGCCCGAACGGAAAAUUUAAAAAUAGAGCAUUGUAUUAAGCCUUUAAUAGCCAAUUCUGAAAAAUAUGAUUUAGAGGCAUUUGAACUUUCAAUA